rnacentral:rRNA from 1 species
AAAGGGUGCGCAGNCGGAAUAGUAAGUCAGAGUGAAAGCCCACAGCUCAACUGUGGAAUGGCCUUUGAUACUGUUAUUCUUGAGUGUAGUUGAAGUAGGCGGAAUAUAGCAUGUAGCGGUGAAAUGCAUAGAUAUGCUAUAGAACACCAAUUGCGAAGGCAGCUUGCUAAACUAUAACUGACGCUGAGGCACGAAAGCGUGGGGAGCGAACAGGAUUAGAUACCCUGGUAGUCCACGCCGUAAACUAUGAACACUCGCUGUUGGCAAUACACAGUCAGCGGCUGAGCGAAAGCGUUAAGUGUUCCACCUGGGAAGUACGAUCGCAAGGUUGAAACUCAAAGGAAUUGACGGGGGCCCGCACAAGCGGAGGAGCAUGUGGUUUAAUUCGAUGAUACGCGAGGAACCUUACCUGGGCUUAAAUGUAUAUUGACGUACUGAGAAAUCAGUAUUUCUUCGGACAAUUUACAAGGUGCUGCAUGGUUGUCGUCAGCUCGUGCCGUGAGGUGUCGGGUUAAGUCCCAUAACGGGCGCAACCCCUACUUCUAGUUACCAGCAUUUCGGAUGGGGACUCUAGAGGAACUGCCUACGCAAGUAGAGAGGAAGGUGGGGAUGACGUCAAAUCAGCACGGCCCUUAUGUCCAGGGCUACACACGUGCUACAAUGGCCGGUACAGAGGGCAGCUACAUAGCAAUAUGAUGCUAAUCUCAAAAGCCGGUCUCAGUCCGGAUUGGAGUCUGCAACUCGACUCCAUGAAGCUGGAUUCGCUAGUAAUCGCACAUCAGCAAUGGUGCGGUGAUACGUUCCCGGGCCUUGUACACACCGCCCGUCAAGCCAUGGAAGUUGGGGGUACCUGAAGUCGAUUGCCGUAAGGCGUUGCC